GAUGAACGCUAGCUACAGGCUUAACACAUGCAAGUCGAGGGGAAACGAUAUUGGAAGCUUGCUUCCGAUAGGCGUCGACCGGCGCACGGGUGAGUAACGCGUAUCCAACCUGCCCAUCACUUGGGGAUAACCUUGCGAAAGUAAGACUAAUACCCAAUGAUAUCUCUAGAAGACAUCUGAAGGAGAUUAAAGAUUCAUCGGUGAUGGAUGGGGAUGCGUCUGAUUAGCUUGUUGGCGGGGUAACGGCCCACCAAGGCGACGAUCAGUAGGGGUUCUGAGAGGAAGGUCCCCCACAUUGGAACUGAGACACGGUCCAAACUCCUACGGGAGGCAGCAGUGAGGAAUAUUGGUCAAUGGGCGAGAGCCUGAACCAGCCAAGUAGCGUGCAGGAUGACGGCCCUAUGGGUUGUAAACUGCUUUUAUAAGGGAAUAAAGUGAGCCUCGUGAGGCUUUUUGUAUGUACCUUAUGAAUAAGGACCGGCUAAUUCCGUGCCAGCAGCCGCGGUAAUACGGAAGGUCCGGGCGUUAUCCGGAUUUAUUGGGUUUAAAGGGAGCGUAGGCCGGAGAUUAAGCGUGUUGUGAAAUGUAGAUGCUCAACAUCUGCACUGCAGCGCGAACUGGUUUCCUUGAGUACGCACAAAGUGGGCGGAAUUCGUGGUGUAGCGGUGAAAUGCUUAGAUAUCACGAAGAACUCCGAUUGCGAAGGCAGCUCACUGGAGCGCAACUGACGCUGAAGCUCGAAAGUGCGGGUAUCGAACAGGAUUAGAUACCCUGGUAGUCCGCACGGUAAACGAUGGAUGCCCGCUGUUGGUCUGAAUAGGUCAGCGGCCAAGCGAAAGCAUUAAGCAUCCCACCUGGGGAGUACGCCGGCAACGGUGAAACUCAAAGGAAUUGAC
rnacentral:rRNA from 1 species